UACGUAGGGUGCAAGCGUUGUCCGGAAUUAUUGGGCGUAAAGAGCUCGUAGGCGGUCUGUCGCGUCGGCUGUGAAAACCCGGAGCUCAACUCCGGGCCUGCAGUCGAUACGGGCAAACUAGAGUACUGCAGGGGAGACUGGAAUUCCUGGUGUAGCGGUGAAAUGCGCAGAUAUCAGGAGGAACACCGGUGGCGAAGGCGGGUCUCUGGGCAGUAACUGACGCUGAGGCACGAAAGCCAGGGGAGCAAACGGG
rnacentral:rRNA from 1 species